AAGGUGCUGGUACUCACCAUGAUGUUACAGUCUGGCUACUCAAACUCCCAGAAGUCUACUCCAAGAGAAACACCCAUAUUUUAGGAUUCUGGCUAAAUGCUGACCAUGAAUAGUUCCAGGCUUCCUGUGGUGGACACCAUCCUGUUGAGUCUAAACUUCUCUUGAUUCUGAGGGGAAAACACAACACAGAACAAGGCUCUUUGAAGCUGAAGUAAAAUUUGGACUUGGAAACCUAUACAUUUGGGUUGAGGAAUAAAUUCAUUUCGACAAAGCAGCAG